ACACGACUACAUUAGACUACCCCCGUAGUCCUGGCCGUAAACGAUGUGGACUUGGUGUUGGGAUGGCUCCGAGCUCGCCCCAGUGCCGAAGGGAAGCUGUUAAGUCCACCGCCUGGGAAGUACGGUCGCAAGACUAGAAACUUAAAGGAAUUGGCGGGGGAGCACCACAACGGGUGGAGCCUGCGGUUUAAUUGGACUCAACGCCGGGAAGCUCACCGGAUAAGACAGCGGAAUGAUUGCCGGGCUGAAGACCCUGCAUGACCAGCUG
rnacentral:rRNA from 1 species